rnacentral:sRNA from 1 species
AAACGCGUCGAGAUGCCUACCGUUAAC